AAAUGUAUCAACAGGUAUAAAUUGUUUAUGUCCUGGAUUCUUCUUACAGUUAACAAGAUAUGUGUGUAGAUCAGCUUCUCCACUUUCUGACUCCUGAGUUUCAUGAUUACCUGGAGGACAGAUCUCGAGAAGAGAAUCCUAUUAAUAAAACUAAGAUGCUACAGGAAGACUCCAGAUAUCAUUUACAAAGACUGCGUCACUAAUAAAGAUAUUAGAAAAAGGAUUAAUACAGCAUCUGGACACCAUGAUGACCUGAUAACCGAAGUCAAAAAAACGAAACUUAUACUAUAUGGCCACAUCACAACCGUUGAAGGAAAUUCUAUAUAACGCUAAAAACAGAGAAGAAUGGAGAAAGCGGUCAACAGAUUUUGCAUGGUACCCAGAACGGUUUAACAGACUAGGGGAAGGUCUAGAUAAGUGAUAGGAUCAUCUAGACACGUGAUAGGAUCAUCUAGACAAGUUAUAGGAUCAUCUAGACAAGUGAUAGGAUCAUCUAGACAAGUGAUAGGAUCAUCUAGAUAAGUGAUAGUAUCAUCUAGACACGUGAUAGGAUCAUCUAGACACGUGAUAGGAUCAUCUAGACACGUGAUAGGAUCAUCUAGACAAGUGAUAGGAUCAUCUAGACACGUGAUAGUAUCAUCUAGACAAGUGAUAGGAUCAUCUAGACAAGUGAUAGGAUCAUCUAGACAAGUGAUAGGAUCAUCUAGACAAGUGAUAGGAUCAUCUAGACAAGUGAUAGGAUCAUAGCGUAUGCAGAACUCUACAAGCUUGAAAUUGAGGAACACAAAAACAAUUGGUAAAAAAAUAUUUCUAAUCGACAAAUGUAUUAUUGUUCGUCUAGAUAAAUCUAAACUAAUUGAUACACAUUAAUAUAAGCUUUGUUGGUUUUUUAAUUAUUUUUUUUUUUUUGCAUUUUGCUUAUUUUCAAGGUAUACUAGUACACUGUGAAAGCAAGAAGAAAGUAUUCAAUAUGUUCAAUAUAGAUACCAUUAAAUUUAAAUCUAAUGUUUGUUUGAAAAAUGUUUUAAAUGUUUUGGAUGUUCCUUCAACGCUAAUGAUAAUUUACUUACUAGUCAAAUUCUCCUACAGGACGAAGACGGGUGACAGCGGGCAGGGUGUGAGCACGGGAUCAUCAAAACAACUUAGAGACACUCCAGUACGCCCACCGCAAGACAUAAUUAAAAGUAUAUUCCCUUUUUUUUCAAAUUGAUUAAAACAAAUCUCAAAUGAUGCCAAAGAGGCAGACAGUAUUCCACUCAGAAACGUUUAGUACUAGAUUAAUGUUAUUAUCAGUUUGCAAGAAGAAUAAAAUGUUAGUGUGUAGAUCUUUAACAUUUGUACAUCUCGUCUGAAGAGUUUUUCUUGACUACAUAAAGAACGUAGUCUGAAUAUAUUUUAUGUUUUAUUUAGUUCUGUUGAAAUGCUGAGAGCUACUUUUUUUAAAAUUAUUACAUUAUAUCAUUGUUUAGAGCCCCCCGUCCCAACCUCCUGUCUAAUUCCAAUGAAAUAAAUGCUUGUACAUUUUAUCAAUCUAAUACUUACCUGAUUU